rnacentral:rRNA from 1 species
UACGAGUUGUGCGAACGUUAUUCGGAAUCACUGGGCUUAAAGGGUGCGUAGGCGGACUUGCAGGUCAGGUGUGAAAUCCCACGGCUCAACCGUGGAAUUGCGCUUGAAACCACUCGUCUUGAGGGGAUCAGAGGAGAGCGGAACUGAUGGUGGAGCGGUGAAAUGCGUUGAUAUUAUCAGGAACACCGGUGGCGAAAGCGGCUCUCUGGGAUCUUUCUGACGCUGAGGCACGAAAGCUAGGGGAGCGAACGGG